rnacentral:rRNA from 1 species
UGCAAGUCGAGUGCGCGUUUCUGUAGCAAUACAGGAAUGGCGCACGGCGCACGGGUGCGUAACACGUGGGUAAUCUGCCCUCUGAUGGGGAAUAACCCGCCGAAAGGCGGGCUAAUUCCGCAUAACAUUCCUUGGACUCUGGUUCGAGGAUUCAAAGGCGUAAGUCGUCGGAGGUGGAGCCCGCGCCCGAUUAGCUAGUUGGUGAGGUAACGGCUCACCAAGGCAAUGAUCGGUAGCUGGUCUGAGAGGAUGGCCAGCCACACUGGAACUGAGACACGGUCCAGACUCCUACGGGAGGCAGCAGUGGGGAAUCUUGCACAAUGGGCGAAAGCCUGAUGCAGCGACGCCGCGUGGGGGAUGAAGCUUCUCGGAGUGUAAACCCCUCUCGACCCGGACGAAUGCCCCGCAAGGGGAGUGACGGUACGGGUAUAAGAAGCCCCGGCUAACUACGUGCCAGCAGCCGCGGUAAGACGUAGGGGGCCAGCGUUGUUCGGAAUUACUGGGUGUAAAGGGUUCGUAGGCGGUGUAGCAAGUUGGGAGUGAAAUCUCUGGGCUCAACUCAGAGGCUGCUUCCAAAACUGCUGUGCUGGAGUGUGGGAGAGGCGCGUGGAAUUGCAGGUGUAGCGGUGAAAUGCGUAGAUAUCUGCAGGAACACCCGUGGCGAAAGCGGCGCGCUGGACCACUACUGACGCUGAGGAACGAAAGCUAGGGGAGCAAACAGGAUUAGAUACCCUGGUAGUCCUAGCCCUAAACGAUCAGGACUUGGGGUGCCACCCGUUCGGGUGUCGUCCCGGAGCUAACGCGUUAAGUCCUGCACCUGGGGAGUACGGUCGCAAGACUGAAACUCGAAUUGACGGGGGCCCGCACAAGCGGUGGAACAUGU